GCUGGCCAAAAAGUUCAUUCUGGUUUUUCCAUAACACCUUACAAAAAACCCGAAUGAAUGUUUUGGCCAAC
rnacentral:miRNA from 1 species